UACGUAGGUGACCAGCGUUGUCCGGAUUUACUGGGCGUAAAGAGCGCGCAGGCGGUCGUUCAAGUCGAGUGUGAAAGCCCCCGGCUCAACUGGGGAGGGUCAUUCGAUACUGGUCGACUUGAAGGCAGGAGAGGGAAGUGGAAUUCCCGGUGUAGUGGUGAAAUGCGUAGAUAUCGGGAGGAACACCAGUGGCGAAGGCGACUUCCUGGCCUGUUCUUGACGCUGAGGCGCGAAAGCUAGGGGAGCAAACGGG
rnacentral:rRNA from 1 species